CGGCACGUAGCGCAGCCUGGUAGCGCACCGUCAUGGGGUGUCGGGGGUCGGAGGUUAAAAUCCUCUCGUGCCGACCA
rnacentral:tRNA from 1 species